AGAGACACCACCAUCUGGGGAAAAGCUGCUCCGGCCGAAGAGGAAAAGACAGGAAAAGUGAAGUACUGGCGGCUGGCCAAGUAUUUCUUCAAUAAAGAAGGAGAUUUUAACAAUCUAACAGCUGCUGCAUUUCACAAGAAGUCUCAUCUCUUGGUCACUGGCUUUGCUUCUGGAAUCUUCCAUCUUCAUGAGCUGCUGGAAUUCAACCUCAUCCACUCGCUGAGCAUCUCAGAUCAAAGCAUCGCCUCAGUGGCCAUCAACAGCUCUGGGGACUGGAUCGCCUUUGGCUGUUCACGUCUGGGCCAGCUGCUGGUGUGGGAGUGGCAGAGCGAGUCCUACGUGCUCAAGCAGCAGGGCCACUUCAACAGCAUGGUGGCCCUGGCCUACUCGCCUGAUGGACAGUACAUCGUGACCGGCGGGGACGACAGCAAGGUCAAAGUGUGGAACACCCUCAGUGGCUUCUGCUUUGUCACUUUCAUGGAGCACUCCAGCGGGGUGACUGGUGUGACCUUUACUGCCACCGGCUAUGUCGUGGUGACCUCAUCCAUGGACGGGACCGUGCGAGCCUUUGACCUUCACAGGUACCGAAACUUCCGCACCUUCACCUCCCCACGCCCCACCCAGUUCUCCUGUGUGGCGGUGGAUGCGAGUGGGGAGAUCGUCUCUGCGGGGGCGCAAGACUUGUUUGAGAUCUUUGUGUGGUCCAUGCAGACAGGCAGGCUCCUUGAUGUUUUGUCCGGACACGAGGGGCCCAUCAGUGGUCUGUGUUUUAACCCAAUGAAGUCCAUCCUGGCCAGUGCCUCCUGGGACAAGACGGUGCGGCUGUGGGACAUGUUUGACAGCUGGAGGACCAAGGAGACACUGGCCCUGACCUCUGACACCUUGGCUGUGACCUUUCUCCCUGAUGGUGCGGAGCUGGCUGUGGCCAUGCUGAACUCACAGAUCACCUUCUGGGACCCCGAGAAUGCAGUGCAGACGGGCUCCAUCGAGGGCAGGCACGACCUGAAGAUGGGCAGGAUGGAGCUGGACAAGAUUACAGCCAAGCACUCAGCCAAGGGGAAAGCCUUCAGCAUCCUGUGCUACUCCGCAGACGGUCAGAGCAUCCUCGCGGGAGGCAUGUACAAGUUUGUGUGCAUCUACCACGUCUGCGAGCAGAUUCUCAUGAAGAGGUUCGAGAUCUCUUGUAACCUGUCUCUGCACGCCAUGGAGGAAUUUUUGAACUGAAGAAAAAUGACAGAGUUUGGCAACCUGGCACUAAUUGAUCAAGAUGCUGGGCAGGAGGAUGGAGUGGCGAUACCACUGCCAAGCGUCAAGAAAGGUGACAUGAGUUCUCAGCACUUCAAACCUGAGAUCAGGGUGACCUCAGUUCACUUCUCUCCCACUGGGCGCUGCUGGGCGGCCGCCACCACGGAGGGGCUCCUCAUCUACUCCCUGGACACGCGCGUGCUCUUCGACCCAUUCGAGCUGGACACCAGCGUCACCCCCAGGCGGGUGCGAGAGGCGCUGCGCUGGCAGGACUUCACCCAGGCCAUCCUCAUGGCCCUCCGGCUCAACGAGAGCAAGCUGGUGCAGGAGGCCCUGGAGGCGGUGCCUAGGGACGAGAUUGAAGUGGUCAGCUCCUCCCUUCCUGAAUUAUAUGUGGAGAAAGUGCUUGAGUUCUUAGCUUCCUCCUUUGAAGUGUCUCGCCACGUGGAAUUCUACCUCCUCUGGACUCAGAAACUGCUCAUGUUGCAUGGACAGAAGCUGAAGUCCAGAGCCGGGACCCUGCUGCCUGUGAUUCAGUUCCUCCAGAAGAGGAUCCAGCGGCACCUGGACGACCUGUCAAAACUCUGUGGCUGGAACCGCUAUAACAUGCAGUACGCACUAGCAGUUUCCCAGCAUCGUGGCACAAAACGCCCCCUGGAGCCGCUGGGAAGUGAGGAGGAGGAGGCAGAAGCACCUGAAGAGGACAGCUUGCACCUGCUCAGAGGAGCAGGCAGAGACUCGAAAGAAGAGAUGCUGGCCUAGAGCCGGCCGGCUGCAGCGCAGAUUGUGCCGGCUAAGACCUGCCAGGGACAUGGGACCAUCAUGCCACCUGGGCCAGCAAAGAGGAGCGGUCCAGAGAGCAGCUGAAAUACUGUCACUGGUGGUAGGGACUUGCUUUUCUGCAAAGGAAACAUGAAGCUCAUCAGGACAGCGAGCUGACGGGCCAUACCAGGGGCCGGCACGCACUGGCACCGGCACCAGGAGCGGGGCUGUGUAAACAGUGAGGAAUUCUGAAAAUGCCUCUCAGAAAGGUCAAUAGCUUCACGUGAACUUUGUAUGAGACUUAUUUAUAUCUCUAAUAUAAAGGUUUGAUAUAGGACUUAGAGAUAAAAAAGAUGGAGUUUUCUAACAUGUGAGGAUUAAGUCUACACUUCAAAUUAAAAAGGCUUAUGUUG